rnacentral:rRNA from 1 species
GACGAACGCUGGCGGCGUGCUUAACACAUGCAAGUCGAGCGGUAAGGCCCUUUCGGGGGUACGACGAGCGGCGAACGGGUGAGUAACACGUGGGUGACCUGCCCUCAGCUCUGGGAUAAGCCUGGGAAACCGGGUCUAAUACUGGAUAUGACUCCAUGACGCAUGUUGUGGGGUGGAAAGCCUUGUGCGGCUGAGGAUGGGCCCGCGGCCUAUCAGCUUGUUGGUGGGGUGAUGGCCUACCAAGGCGACGACGGGUAGCCGGCCUGAGAGGGCGACCGGCCACACUGGGACUGAGACACGGCCCAGACUCCUACGGGAGGCAGCAGUGGGGAAUCUUGCGCAAUGGGCGAAAGCCUGACGCAGCGACGCCGCGUGAGGGAUGAC